rnacentral:rRNA from 1 species
GGGGAUAACACUUGGAAACAGGUGCUAAUACCGUAUAACACUAUUUUCCGCAUGGAAGAAAGUUGAAAGGCGCUUUUGCGUCACUGAUGGAUGGACCCGCGGUGCAUUAGCUAGUUGGUGAGGUAACGGCUCACCAAGGCCACGAUGCAUAGCCGACCUGAGAGGGUGAUCGGCCACACUGGGACUGAGACACGGCCCAGACUCCUACGGGAGGCAGCAGUAGGGAAUCUUCGGCAAUGGACGAAAGUCUGACCGAGCAACGCCGCGUGAGUGAAGAAGGUUUUCGGAUCGUAAAACUCUGUUGUUAGAGGAGAACAAGGAUGAGAGUAAAAUGUUCAUCCCUUGACGGUAUCUAACCAGAAAGCCACGGCUAACUACGUGCCAGCAGCCGCGGUAAUACGUAGGUGGCAAGCGUUGUCCGGAUUUAUUGGGCGUAAAGCGAGCGCAGGCGGUUUCUUAAGUCUGAUGUGAAAGCCCCCGGCUCAACCGGGGAGGGUUAUUGGAAACUGGGAGACUUGAGUGCAGAAGAGGAGAGUGGAAUUCCAUGUGUAGCGGUGAAAUGCGUAGAUAUAUGGAGGAACACCAGUGGCGAAGGCGGCUCUCUGGUCUGUAACUGACGCUGAGGCUCGAAAGCGUGGGGAGCGAACAGGAUUAGAUACCCU